CCUACGGGGGGCUGCAGUGGGGAAUAUUGGACAAUGGGGGGAACCCUGAUCCAGCCAUGCCGCGUGUGUGAAGAAGGCCCUCGGGUUGUAAAGCACUUUCAGUGAGGAAGAACGCCUGGUGGUUAAUACCCAUCAGGAAAGACAUCACUCACAGAAGAAGCACCGACUAACUCCGUGCCAGCAGCCGCGGUAAUACGGAGGGUGCGAGCGUUAAUCGGAAUUACUGGGCGUAAAGCGCGCGUAGGUGGCUUGAUAAGCCGGUUGUGAAAGCCCCGGGCUCAACCUGGGAACGGCAUCCGGAACUGUCAAGCUAGAGUGCAGGAGAGGAAGGUAGAAUUCCCGGUGUAGCGGUGAAAUGCGUAGAGAUCGGGAGGAAUACCAGUGGCGAAGGCGGCCUUCUGGACUGACACUGACACUGAGGUGCGAAAGCGUGGGUAGCAAACAGGAUUAGAUACCCCAGUAGUC
rnacentral:rRNA from 1 species